AUUGAACGCUGGCGGAAUGCUUUACACAUGCAAGUCGAACGGCAGCACGGGGGCAACCCUGGUGGCGAGUGGCGAACGGGUGAGUAAUACAUCGGAACGUGCCCAGUCGUGGGGGAUAACGUAGCGAAAGCUACGCUAAUACCGCAUACGAUCUCUGGAUGAAAGCGGGGGACCGCAAGGCCUCGCGCGAUUGGAGCGGCCGAUGGCAGAUUAGGUAGUUGGUGGGGAAAGGCUCACCAAGCCGACGAUCGGUAGCUGGUCUGAGAGGACGAUCAG
rnacentral:rRNA from 1 species